AGUUUUUACCCCUUGACAGCUUAAUUAUCCCCGAGUUGUUCAGUUAAUUUGUGUAACAAAAGAGCCAGGUGUUUUGUUAGUCAUAAUAAUUCAUGGCAAAAAUAAACAAGGUCAGGACAUCUUUCCGGGGGAAGAAAUCAACAGAGCACAUGACGCAUGACAAACUCCAGCAGAUCUGACAUGUUAUUUUCCUUUUUGUUGUUGUUUAAAAGACUCUUAUUUUGAAUUUAUUUGUUUCAGUGGAUUUUGUUACUGGGUUUGUGUUAUUAGUUUUUAUAAACCUGAAUCUUGUAUUUAAAAGCUUUAAUUAAGAAGAGUGUCAAUAUUUUACUAAAAAUGAACAUUGUAUUUAUCCAGUUACCAGUAUAUUUUAGAGUAAGGAAUUUAAAAGUUUUUUAAGUUUCCUAAGAAUUUUAGGAUGCCAGAGUUUUUAAGUACACUGUACUUGACUGUGUAUGUAAAAAUUACAUCUGGUUGAAUUAAGAGUUGGGAAAAAGACAUGUUACUUAUACAUGGAUUUCACAUGUAGGAUUGGAUAUGGAUGAUGUCAUGUAGAAUAAUGUCAAGCAUAAAUUGUAUGCAGUGUGCUACAUGAUCAAAUGUAUAUUUAUGUGUUUCAUGAGGAAUACUAUGUAUGUUGUCAAAGCAUGUUAAAGAUACUGAGCUUAAUUUAUGAUGAUCCUGAAUAAAGCUGCAAUUUCAUC
rnacentral:misc_RNA from 1 species